CUUAUCUAUACCCCUGGACACUUCACCAAUUUCAUACAUGCCAGGCCUUCCCUUCUCUCCUUCUCUUCUUAUCUCUUCUUCUUCUCUCUCUAAAAACCAUACGAAGUGGAUUUUGAAGGAGAAGUUGGUGGAUUUGGUGUUUUGAGCUGAGAAGAAUUUCAGCAGCAGGGAGAAAACCUAGUGGAGAGUGAAUUCUGAGGUGAGGUUAUUAUAUCUCUUGAUUAGGGUUAU
rnacentral:lncRNA from 1 species